UUGUAUGGUGUUUCUACGCCGCAUGGAACCAGUGGUUAUUCAGCAACGGGACCAACGGCUUGACGUGACUUCCGAACCACGUCGAGAGUGAACUUCUAUCACCAGAAAUACACAUCUCUCACUCCUCGAUGGAAUGGCCGAGAAUCGAACCCGCGACCACCGAGGUGAGAAGCAAACACCAAACAAACCACGCCACUGAGGCGCUUCACCAGUACACCGGAGUUUUCAGUUCUCUGUUAGGGUGGGAGUGAGGUGGAUCGGUGUCUGUGCAUCCCGUGGCGUGGUUUUGCAUUUUCGUCAGUUAUACCGUCGUUCUUCAAAGGGAUCGUGGUUAUUUGUCAUAUUGUGACCUUCACAGUUGAGCCAAAACUUAUUGCUUCGAAGUGUUCAUUGACGCCCAGGAAGACAGUUAUACCCAGAGGCAGACAGCAAGGCCUAAAAGAGGUCUAGCUCUGAAACUCCUACCCAAGGGAGGCCUCACUUCGUCCCAUCAUGGCCAGCAAGUCUUCAGGAGAUGCAGCUCUGGAAUUCCUACCCAAGUGUGUCUUCACAUCGUCGCAUCAAUGGUCAAGUGUCGAAUAUGUUUUUCUCAAUUUUUUGAGUUAUCUGGAUCGAUGGUGAUUUUGUCACCGACCCUUUGAUUCUGUAAAGUAGCACAGU